rnacentral:rRNA from 1 species
AUCCUGGCUCAGAUUGAACGCUGGCGGCAGGCCUAACACAUGCAAGUCGAGCGGUAGAGAGAAGCUUGCUUCUCUUGAGAGCGGCGGACGGGUGAGUAAUGCCUAGGAAUCUGCCUGGUAGUGGGGGAUAACGUUCGGAAACGGACGCUAAUACCGCAUACGUCCUACGGGAGAAAGCAGGGGACCUUCGGGCCUUGCGCUAUCAGAUGAGCCUAGGUCGGAUUAGCUAGUUGGUGAGGUAAUGGCUCACCAAGGCGACGAUCCGUAACUGGUCUGAGAGGAUGAUCAGUCACACUGGAACUGAGACACGGUCCAGACUCCUACGGGAGGCAGCAGUGGGGAAUAUUGGACAAUGGGCGAAAGCCUGAUCCAGCCAUGCCGCGUGUGUGAAGAAGGUCUUCGGAUUGUAAAGCACUUUAAGUUGGGAGGAAGGGCAGUUACCUAAUACGUGAUUGUUUUGACGUUACCGACAGAAUAAGCACCGGCUAACUCUGUGCCAGCAGCCGCGGUAAUACAGAGGGUGCAAGCGUUAAUCGGAAUUACUGGGCGUAAAGCGCGCGUAGGUGGUUAGUUAAGUUGGAUGUGAAAUCCCCGGGCUCAACCUGGGAACUGCAUUCAAAACUGACUGACUAGAGUAUGGUAGAGGGUGGUGGAAUUUCCUGUGUAGCGGUGAAAUGCGUAGAUAUAGGAAGGAACACCAGUGGCGAAGGCGACCACCUGGACUGAUACUGACACUGAGGUGCGAAAGCGUGGGAGCAACAG